AUUGAACGCUGGCGGCAGGCCUAACACAUGCAAGUCGAGCGAGCGGCGGACGGGUGAGUAAUGUAUGGGGGGCUGCUCGAUAGAGGGGGAGAACUACUGGAAACGGUAGCUAAUACCGCAUACUACAGGAUGAAUACAUACGUGAUUAGCUAGUAGGUGGGGUAAAGGCUCACCCAGGCGACGAUCCCUAGCUGGUCUGAGAGGAUGAUCAGCCACACUGGAACUGAGACACGGCCCAGACUCCUACGGGAGGCAGCAGUGGGGAAUAUUGCACAAUGGGCGCAAGCCUGAUGCAGCCAUGCCGCGUGUGUGAAGAAGGCCUUCGGGUUGUAAAGUACUUUCAGCGGGGAGGCGUUACCCGCAGAAGAAGCACCGGCUAACUCCGUGCCAGCAGCCGCGGUAAUUC
rnacentral:rRNA from 1 species